rnacentral:rRNA from 1 species
GAUGAACGCUGGCGGCGUGCCUAAUACAUGCAAGUCGAGCGAACAGACGAGGAGCUUGCUCCUCUGACGUUAGCGGCGGACGGGUGAGUAACACGUGGAUAACCUACCUAUAAGACUGGGAUAACUUCGGGAAACCGGAGCUAAUACCGGAUAAUAUAUUGAACCGCAUGGUUCAAUAGUGAAAGACGGUUUUGCUGUCACUUAUAGAUGGAUCCGCGCCGCAUUAGCUAGUUGGUAAGGUAACGGCUUACCAAGGCAACGAUGCGUAGCCGACCAGAGAGGGGGAUCGGCCACACUGGAGCUGGGGCACGGUCCAGACUCCUACGGGAGGCAGCAGUAGGGAAUCUUCCGCAAUGGGCGAAAGCCUGACGGAGCAACGCCGCGUGAGUGAUGAAGGUCUUCGGAUCGUAAAACUCUGUUAUUAGGGAAGAACAAAUGUGUAAGUAACUAUGCACGUCUUGACGGUACCUAAUCAGAAAGCCACGGCUAACUACGUGCCAGCAGCCGCGGUAA